GGCGGGGGAGGAUGUUUUUGAAAAUAUCACACACUUGGGGGCUAGUUCACGCUGCAGCUGGUGCGUGGGGGAUGCGCGUCUGCGAUGUCCCGCAGAACUCGCACACACGCACACACACGGGUGAUCGUGUUCGAACUGUUCACGUGUCUGCAUGUGUGUUUGGAGGGGGCCACUCAUGGACGGCCAUGCAUGUGCACGGAUUGGCCGGUGGCAGUGGUCGAUUUGUCUUGUUCAUUUUGCUGUGGUGUAUGGGUUCUCCAUUUUGACGGGUUGUGUGUGGGAGGAGUUUUGUGGGUAUUACAAGCU
rnacentral:lncRNA from 1 species